UACAUAGGGUGCAAGCGUUGUCCGGAUUUAUUGGGCGUAAAGAGUUCGUAGGCGGUUUUUCGCGUCGGAUGUGAAAACUCAGGGCUCAACCCUGAGCCUGCAUUCGAUACGGGAAGACUCGAGGACGGCAGGGGAGACUGGAACUUCUGGUGUAGCGGUGGAAUGUGCAGAUAUCAGAAAGAACACCAAUGGCGAAGGCAGGUCUCUGGGCCGAUCCUGACGCUGAGGAACGAAAGCGUGGGGAGCAAACAGG
rnacentral:rRNA from 1 species